rnacentral:rRNA from 1 species
GAUGAACGCUGGCGGCGUGCUUAACACAUGCAAGUCGAACGAAACACCUUAUUUGAUUUUCUUCGGAACUGAAGAUUUGGUGAUUGAGUGGCGGACGGGUGAGUAACGCGUGGGUAACCUACCCUGUACAGGGGGAUAACAGUCAGAAAUGACUGCUAAUACCGCAUAAGACCACAGCACCGCAUGGUGCAGGGGUAAAAACUCCGGUGGUACAGGAUGGACCCGCGUCUGAUUAGCUGGUUGGUGAGGUAACGGCUCACCAAGGCGACGAUCAGUAGCCGGCUUGAGAGAGUGAACGGCCACAUUGGGACUGAGACACGGCCCAAACUCCUACGGGAGGCAGCAGUGGGGAAUAUUGCACAAUGGGGGAAACCCUGAUGCAGCGACGCCGCGUGAGUGAAGAAGUAUCUCGGUAUGUAAAGCUCUAUCAGCAGGGAAGAAAAUGACGGUACCUGACUAAGAAGCCCCGG